CCUUUAAUCAGUGAAACUGAUCUCCUCGUGAAGAAGCGAGGAUACCCUAAUAAGACGAGAAGACCCCAUGGAACUUUAAACUUGUACCACUGCCCCCUCAAGAUACCACACCAACCAGGGCAAUCAUGACUACUAGUCUUUCGGCUGGGGCGACCACGGAACAAAAUAAAACCUCCACGAUGAAAGAGACACCCUCCCUAAUCCCAGAGCUACUGCUCCAAGAAUCAACAAAUUGACAUAAAUUGACCCAAACACCUUGAUCAACGAACCAAGCUACCCUGGGGAUAACAGCGCAAUCCAUUUCAAGAGACCCCAUCGACAAAUGGGCUUACGACCUCGAUGUUGGAUCAGGGUAUCCCGGUGGUGCAGCCGCUACCAAAGGUUCGUUUGUUCAACGAUUAAAACCCU
rnacentral:rRNA from 1 species